UACGUAGGGUGCAAGCGUUGUCCGGAAUUAUUGGGCGUAAAGAGCUCGUAGGCGGCUUGUCGCGUCGGCUGUGAAAACCUGGGGCUCAACCCCGGGCCUGCAGCCGAUACGGGCAAGCUAGAGUUCGGUAGGGGAGACUGGAAUUCCUGGUGUAGCGGUGAAAUGCGCAGAUAUCAGGAGGAACACCAGCGGCGAAGGCGGCGCUCUGGGCUGGAACUGACGCUGAGGAGCGAAAGCGUGGGGAGCGAACAGG
rnacentral:rRNA from 1 species